rnacentral:rRNA from 1 species
GACGAACGCUGGCGGCGUGCUUAACACAUGCAAGUCGAACGAGUGGCGAACGGGUGAGUAAUACGUGAGUAACCUGCGCUCUUUUUGGGAUAAGCCUUGGUAACGGGGUCUAAUACCGGAUAAAGGGGGAUGGGCUCGCGGCCUAUCGGCUUGUUGGUGGGGUGAUGGCCUACCAAGGCGGCGACGGGUAGCCGGCCUGAGAGGCUAAACGGCGACAGUGAGACGGCGAAGCGGCCCAGAGGCGUACGGGAGGCGGCAGUGGGGGAUAUUGCACAAUGGGCGAAAGCCUGAUGCAGCGACGCCGCGGAGGGGUUGCGGGCUUUCGGGUUGUAAACCUCUUUCGCUACCGAACGGUAGGUGGAGAAAAAGCGCCGGCUAACUACGUGCCAGCAGCCGCGGUAAUAC